UGAAAGUUGAAGUCGCUGGAGGCAGCGGUUCAUCGAUCAAUUCCUGUGAAAAAUGAUGUUGGAAACAAUUUACAUGGGAAGCAUGAAUCGAUCGAUAAACCUCUGCAUCCAGUGCUUCUCCUUCCU